GGAGGGUGCGAGCGUUGUUCGGAAUUAUUGGGCGUAAAGCGCGUGUAGGCUGUUUAUUAAGUCUGAUGUGAAAGCCCUGGGCUCAACCUGGGAAGUGCAUUGGAUACUGGUAGACUUGAGUACGGGAGAGGGCAGUGGAAUUCCCAGUGUAGGAGUGAAAUCCGUAGAUAUUGGGAGGAACACCGGUGGCGAAGGCGGCUGCCUGGACCGAUACUGACGCUGAGACGCGAAAGCGUGGGGAGCAAACAGGAUUAGAUACCCUGGUAGUCCACGCCGUAAACGAUGAGUACUAGGUGUUGCGGGUAUUGACCCCUGCAGUGCCGUAGCUAACGCAUUAAGUACUCCGCCUGGGAAGUACGGUCGCAAGACUA
rnacentral:rRNA from 1 species